rnacentral:rRNA from 1 species
AGGAUGAACGCUGGCGGCGUGCCUAACACAUGCAAGUCGAACGUCCUGUCUCGCAAGAGGCAGGGAGUGGCGGACGGGUGAGUACCACGUGGGUCAUCUACCGUGAGGUGAGGAAUACCGGCGAGAAAUCGCCGACAAGACCGCAUAGGCUCGAUGCAAGUCGAGCAAAGCUCUUUCGAGAGAGGGAGCGCCACACGAGGAGCCUGCGCCCGAUUAGCUAGCUGGUGGAGUAACGGUUCACCAGGGCGACGAUCGGUAGCUGGUCUGAGAGGACGAUCAGCCACACUGGGAUUGAGAACGGCCCAGACUCCUACGGGGGGCAGCAGUGAGGAAUUUUCGUCAAUGGGGGCAACCCUGAACGAGCAACGCCGCGUGCAGGAAGAAGGUUUCGGAUCGUAAACUGCUUUUCUCGGGGAAGAGAAUGGACGGUACCCGAGGAAUCAGCCCCGGCUAACUACGUGCCAGCAGCCGCGGU